rnacentral:rRNA from 1 species
AUUGAACGCUGGCGGCAGGCUUAACACAUGCAAGUCGAACGAGUGGCGGACGGGUGAGUAAUGCUUGGGAAUCUAGCUUAUGGCGGGGGAUAACUACGGGAAACUGUGGCUAAUACCGCGUACCAUAGGAUGGGCCGAAGUGGGAUUAGGUAGUUGGUGGGGUAAAGGCUCACCAAGCCGACGAUCCCUAGCUGGUCUGAGAGGAUGACCAGCCACACUGGGACUGAGACACGGCCCAGACUCCUACGGGAGGCAGCAGUGGGGAAUUGUGCGCAAUGGGGGAAACCUGAUGCAGCCAUGCCGCGUGAAUGAAGAAGGCCUUCGGGUUGUAAAGUUCUUUUGGUAGAGAGGCGUUAUCUACAGAAGAAGCACCGGCUAACUACGUGCCAGCAGCCGCGGUAAUUC